UGACAAUGAUGGUCCCCAAAAUAGUGACAUGAAGGAUAGAUCACCAAAUGUUUUGCCCCAAGUAUGCAUAAUAUGCGAGAAACAAUUCGAUUUGUUUGUCAUGGUACAGUAUGUCUUACAUUGUAAUUAUAUGGUAUAUUUAUCAUUAAAUGAAAUCAUUAUACAGUUGCUAGUAAAUGGUACAGCGAUCACAUAGCAAAAUAAUCACCUGAAUAAUAUUUAUUCUAAAAUUAUUACCCGUGAAGAAAAACCUUUCGUGUGAGAAGCUGGCACAAAGAAAAAGAUCAACUACAGGAUCUAUUUAAAAAUUGUGGAAAAGAUUGUGUUGCCAUUGAGGUUAAGUACUGUACCAUAAUAAAUGAUACAAGAAUUAUACUAACGAUUUGUAUGGACAGGAUACAGUAAGACAUCAUGUGAAACAACUUCAAUGGUUUUGUACAACAUGGGAUAUGAUGAUAAUCACAGUGCUACACAGUCCAUAUUGAAUGAACGAACUACAAAUUCUGUAUCAUGCUUCUAUAUUGCUUAAGAAAAAGCUAGCUACUGUGAAGUGGCUUAUGGACCCUUGGCUGCCUGUAGCUGAAUGAAUAACUUUACUAAAUGAAUUUCUUGUAAAGACGUUAUUCGAUCUACAGAGUGGAAUUCAUAGCAG